rnacentral:lncRNA from 1 species
GUGGGAUAAAAGUAUGCAGUUAGACGCACAAGAUCACAGAGAAACACAGUGCUGAACACAAGCAAAGCGGACGCUCCUGUACCUUCUCGAACAGGGUCAUUAAAGCAGCGACAACUGCACCCUGCAGCAGAAAAAGUGUUGGCGACAGACAGCGCUAUUAAGCAGAGAGACCGUGUGGAAAAGGAGAGAGCCAAAGGAUUGAGAUAUUAGGAUAAGAGGGGUACUAACUGCAGACUACAGACCUCCUGGGUUUAAGAAACAGCAAAAAGACAGAGAUUAUUAGAAACAAUAGGGCUACCUCUGCUUCGGCCCUAAUGAUGUUUGUGCUAACAUAGGCAUAUUAGGGGGUGCUGGUUGAAACACUCUAGUUAAUGAGGGACUUCAACUCCUGUUUGAUUUGUUUACUUUGUAAGUGUAUUAGCCAGGAUGGCAAAAGUAUUCAUAUUUUGGGAAGGAUUGUGUACAAGGUAGUUAUUAUGUUUUUGGGAUGGGAUAGAGGAGGUGAGUCCAAAACCAUAGGGACAUCGUAAUCACCCUACUUCUAAUACCGACUUGAUAGGAUUAUUUUGGAGCCAGAGUUUGAAUGUGAUUGAUCUGAGUUAUCAUUUCACAUGUGUGCUAAUUGGCAUGUUUAAAUCAUUCAUACAGUACAUAUCAAAUAUCAAUACAUGUUUUUAUGGGGGGGGGUACCAGGCUUCCGCAGCAGACUUUAAAAAUAAAAUGGCAUCACAAAUACAUGCUGUUGCAUACAUGCACGGGCAGACCAAUGCACAGACCAUGCACGGGCAGGGCAAUGCACAGACCUUUUGGUGGGGCACGUGCUCAAACAAAAAAAAGAGCGCCUAAAACGAAAAAUCUGUAACCGCGGUCACUGACUCGUUAAGCAGUUAUGGCUUUCAUUAUUUAGUUACAUAAAAGCAAAAUACGGCCACAUCUUAAUGGCUAAUUAAAUUACACAUAUUUAAUGUAAAUUUAACGACGGUUUGCGGGCAGUGUGUUCAGAACCACAAUGACUAAACUGUAUACGUUUAUUUCUUUUUUACCCAAAACUAAAGGACACUUUAGAGACUGGAACCGCAAAGAAAAGGAGCAUGUGCUCUACGCAGGUAGAGAUCUAUAGGAGCAUGUGCUCUACGCAGGUAGAGACGUAUAGGAGCAUGUGCUCUACGCAGGUAGAGACGUAUAGGAGCAUGUGCUCUACGCAGGUAGAGAUCUAUAGGAGCAUGCGCUCUACGCAGGUAGAGACGUAUAGGAGCAUGUGCUCUACACAGGUAGAGAUCUAUAGGAGCAUGUGCUCUACGCAGGUAGAGACGUAUAGGAGCAUGUGCUCUACGCAGGUAGAGACGUAUAGGAGCAUGUGCUCUACGCAGGUAGAGACGUAUAGGAGCAUGUGCUCUACGCAGGUAGAGAUCUAUAGGAGCAUGUGCUCUACGCAGGUAGAGACGUAUAGGAAAAACGGGCGUGCAAAAUACCCUAUAGUGCCUUUGCCUCGAUUGCUUUGUGCUCUCAGACAUCCUGAGUUAUGUCUAAACGUUCCAAAUUAUGAGGAUCAACUAUACAGCCAGGCUGAUCAAAACCAGCUAAUUGAUGAAAGUAAAUGUUCGUUUCGCUCCCACUCUAAAGUGAUCUAAUGGGAAAUUAAAAGUGUCUCAACUUUUCUUUUUCUCGAGGGAGCUAAUAAAGAAAACGAAACUUAAUAACAAAUCUGUUUUGAUUGAUUCAACUGUGUUAUUGGGGAUGGGCGCAAGAGAGGAUCUAUAUCAUUAGGCAAUGGGAAAACAUUAACAAGCUUUGGGGCCUACACUAAAUAUAUCAAGCCACCAGAAGAAGCCAGAAGAUAAAAGAGGCUGUAUUAAUCAAAAUAAUGUUAGUCGG